rnacentral:lncRNA from 1 species
CCGCUAAAACACUUCUCACAUAAACUACAAUUCAAACCAAAACUUCAUUUACAAAACAAAUACGACAUAUAUACUUCUUAUUAACACAAUAACCACAUCACAGGCGAGGAGACACUUCAACAUCACCUAAUCUACCCACAAUUAUCACAAUUAAAAUACAAACAAGGGGAUUCUUCCCUGCACGCCGAGGGGGCAGCACACAGGCACGUCAAAAGACCCAGAGAUCAAUACCUCGCACACCUCCUACAUAUAAGAAACCAUCGUGACUAAUAUAACUGAAACGGAAAUAGGCUAAAACCUUUUUCUAAUUGAUUUUGGUGGUUGAAUUGCCCAACACAAAUAAUUGGACUAACUAGUUUGCUCUAAAUUGUAAGUUCUACAGGUGCCAAAGGUUCAACACAAACCAAUAAAAAGUCCAAGAAAGGGUUCAAAUAAAAAGGAGAAAAGACAACCGAAGGCUGCCCUGGUCUGGCGCACCGGACUGUCCGGUGUGCCACCGAACAGUGUCCGGUGCACCAGGGAGAUCAACUCCGAACUUGCCACCUUCAGGUUUCUGGAAUUGCCUCUCCGCUAUAAUUCAUCGGACUGUCCGGUGUAGCACCGGACUGUCCGGUGUGCCAAGCGGAGUAACGGCUACAGCGCCAACGGUCGUCUGCAAAAGGUGAACAAUGAGCUACAGUGCGUCGACUGCGCGCGCAGAAGUCAGAGCAGGCGCAGAUGGCGCAUCGGACAGUGAACAGUGACUGUCCGGUGGCCCCACUUGUUAGAGCUCCAACGGUCGAACCCUAACGGUUGGGUGACGUGGCUGGCGCACCGGACAGUGUCCGGUGGUGCACCGGACUGUCCGGUGCGCCCUUCGACAGCAGCAUUCCCCAACGACCACUUUGGUGGUUGGGGCUAUAAAUACCCUCAACCACCACACUUCAAGGCAUCCAAGUUUUCAGCCAACACAAUCAAUACAAGAGCUAGUGCAUUCAAUACAAGACACAAUUAGAGUGAAUCAAAAUCUCUCCAAGUCCCAAUUCCACUCAAAGCAAGAGUGACUAGAAGAGAGUUUUGUCGUGUUCUUUUGAGCUCUUGUGCUUGGAUCGCUUUUCUUCUUCCCUAUUUUCUUGUUCCAAGUCAUUUGUAAUCAAAGCAAGAGACACCAAUUGUGUGGUGGUCCUUGUGGGGACUAAGUGUCCCAAUUGUUUGAGAAGAGAAGCUCACUCGGUCUAAGUGACCGUUUGAGAGAGGGAAAGGGUUGAAAGAGACCCGAUUUUUGUGACCACCUCAACGGGGAGUAGGUUUGCAAGAACUGAACCUCGGUAAAACAAAUCACCGUGUCACACUCUUCAUUUGCUUGUGAUUUGUUUUGCCCUCUCUUUCAGACUCGAUUAUAUUUCUAACGCUAACCCCGGCUUGUAGUUGUGCUUAAACUUUAUAAAUUUCAGAUUUGCCUAUUCACCCCCUCUAGACGACUUUCAAUUGGUAUCAGAGCCCGGUACUUCAUUAGAGCCUAACCGCUCGAAGUGAUGUCGGGAGCUCACGCCAAGAAGGAGAUGGUGACCGGCGAGAAGCCCGCCAUAAGCCACGGGAAAGCUCCAUCGGGAGAGUCCGGCAACAAGAAGAGGGAGGAAUCACCUUCCCGCGUCAAGUCGCACCGGAGUGGCGACAAGAAGAAGAAAAUGAAGAAAGUGGUCUACUACGAGACCGAUUCUUCGUCGCCUUCCACCUCCGGUUCCGACACGCCGUCCGUAACUUCUAAGCGCCAUGAGCGCAAGAAGUUUAGUAAGAUCCUCUUACGCUAUCCACGCAUUUCCAAACACACUCCUUUACUUUCCGUCCCACUAGGCAAACCACCAGUUUUUGACGGUGAAGAUUAUUGUAUGUGGAGUGAUAAAAUGAGGCACCAUCUAACCUCACUCCACGCUAGCAUUUGGGACAUUGUUGAGUUUGGUGCGCAGGAACCAUCCGUGGGGGAUGAAGGCUAUGAUUCGGACGAGGUAGCCCAAAUUCGGCACUUCAACUCCCAAGCCACUACUAUACUUCUCGCCUCUCUAAGUCGAGAGGAGUAUAAUAAGGUGCAAGGGUUGAAAAGCGCCAAAGAGAUUUGGGACGUGCUCAAAACCGCACACGAAGGAGAUGAUGUGACUAUUGACCAAGAUCACCAAGCAGGAAAUGAUCGAGGGGGAGCUCGGUCGAUUUAUGCUCAACCAAGGAGAGGAGCCACAAGCAAUGUACAACCGACUCAAAACCUUGGUGAACCAAGUGCGCAACCUCGGGAGCACCAAAUGGGAUGACCAUGAAAUGGUCAAGGUUAUUCUUAGAUCACUCGUUUUUCUUAACCUUACUCAAGUUCAAUUAAUUCGUGGUGAUCCUAGAUAUAAACUAAUGUCUCCCGAGGAAGUGAUAGGGAAGUUUGUGAGCUUUGAGCUAAUGAUCAAAGGCUCCAAACAAAUCAUCGAGCGAGGCGCCACCUCCACACCCGAGGUGCAACCCGUCGCAUUCAAAGCGACGGAAGAGAAGAAAGAAGAGUCUACGUCAAGUAGGCUCCCCAUCGAUGCCUCCAAGCUCGACAAUGAGGAGAUGACUUUAAUCAUCAAAAGCUUUCGCCAAAUCCCCAAGCAAAGGGAGGGGAAAGACUACAAGCCCCGUUCCAAGAAGGUUUGCUACAAGUGUGGUAAGCACGAUCACUUUAUAGCAAAAUGUCCUAUUUCUAGUGAUAGUGACAGGGGCGACGACAAGAGAGGGAAGAAGAAGGAGAAGAAGAGGUACUACAAGAAGAAGGGCGGUGAAGCCCAUGUUUGCCAGGAGUGGGACUUCGACGAGAGCUCCACCGACUCCUCCUCCGACGAGGACACCGCAAACAUCACCGUCAACAAGGGUCUCCUCUUCCCCAACGUCGGCCACAAGUGCCUCAUGGCAAAGGACGGCAAAAAGAAGAAGGUAAAAUCUAGAGCUUACAAUAAAUAUACAACAUCUAGUGAUGAGGCUAGCUCUAGUGAUGAUGAGGAUGAUUUGCUAACCCUUUUUGCCAACUUAAACAUGCAACAAAAAGAAAAAUUGAAUGAAUUAAUUAGUGCUAUUCAUGAGAAGGAUGAACUCUUGGAUAGCCAAGAGGACUUCCUUAUUAAAGAAAAUAAGAAGCAUGUUAAAGUUAAAAAUGCUUAUGCUCAGGAGAUAGAAAAAUGUGAAAAAUUAACUAGUGAGCUAAGCACUUGCCAUGACACUAUUUCCAACCUUAGGUUUGAGAAUGAUAAAUUGAUUGCUAAGGUUGAGAAAUUAAAUGUUAGUGAUGAUUCUCUUGUCAACCUUAAAAAUGAUAAUGCUAGUUUGAUUACUAAGAUUGACAAGUUGAAUGAAUCACUCUCUAGCCUUAAAAUUGAGAAUGAAAAAUUAGUUGCUAAGGCUAAAGAUUUAAAUGUUUGCAAUAUUUAUAUUUCCAAUCUUAAGAAUGAGAAUGCUAUUUUACAUGCUAUGAUUGAUGAAUUAAAUGUUUACAAACCCUCUACAUCUACCAUUGAGCAUGUUACUAUUUGCACUAGAUGUAGAGGUAUUAAUGUUGAUGCUAUACAUGAUCACCUAGCUUUAACCAAACAACAAAAUGAUCACAUAGCUCAACUUAGUGCUAAGAUUAAUGAGCAUGACUUAGAAAAUGAAAAUUUUAAAUUUGCUAGAAGCAUGCUCUAUAGUGGGAGACGCCCAGGCAUUAAGGAUGGCAUUGGCUUCCAACAGGGAGACAAUGUCAAGCUUAAUGCCCCUAAGAAAUUGUCUAACUUUGUUAAGGGCAAAGCUCCCAUGGCUCAGGAUAAUGAGGGUUACAUUUUAUAUCCUGCUGGUUAUCCCGAUCACAAAAUUAGGAGAAUUCAUUCUAGAAAGUCUCACUCUGGCUCUCAUCAUGCAUUUAUGUAUAAGAGUGAGGCAUCUAGUUCUAGGUAAUCCACUCAUGUUAAAUCGCCUAAGAAGAAAACUCCUAUUGCAUCAAAUGAGCCUAUUAUUUCAUUUAAGACUUUUGAUGCUUCAUAUGUUUUAACUAACAAAUCAGGUAAAGUAGUUGCCAAAUAUGUUGGGGCCAAACACAAGGGCUCAAAGACUUGUGUUUGGGUACCCAAGGUGCUUGUUUCUAAUGUCAAAGGACCCAAGAUCGUUUGGGUACCUAAGAACAAGGCCUAAAUUUGUUUUGUAGGUUUAUGCAUCCGGGGGCUCAAGUUGGAUAAUUGAUAGCGGGUGCACAAACCACAUGACUGGGGAGAAAAGAAUGUUCUCCUACGAGAAAAACCAUGAUCCCCAAAGAGCUAUCACAUUCGGGGAUGGAAAUAAAGGUUUGGUCAAAGGACUUGGUAAAAUUGCUAUAUCUUCUGACCAUUCUAUUUCCAAUGUUUUUCUUGUAGAUUCUUUAGAUUAUAACUUGCUUUCAGUUUCUCAAUUAUGCAAAAUGGGCUACAAUUGUCUUUUUACGGAUAUAGGUGUUACUGUCUUUAGAAGAAGUGAUGAUUCAGUAGCAUUUAAGGGAGUGUUAGAGGGUUAGCUAUACUUAGUUGAUUUUAAUAGAGCUGAACUCGACACUUGCUUAAUUGCUAAGAAUAACAUGGUUGGCUUUGGCAUCGCCGACUAGCCCACGUUGGGAUGAAGAAUCUUCACAAGCUUCUAAAGGGAGAAUACAUUUUGGGACUAACAAAUGUUCAUUUUGAGAAAGACAGGGUUUGUAGCGCAUGUCAAGCAGGGAAGCAAGUUGGUGUUCAUCAUCCACACAAGAACAUCAUGACGACCGACAGGCCGCUUGAGCUACUCCACAUGGAUCUAUCCGGCCCGAUUGCUUACAUAAGCAUCUGCGGGAGUAAGUAUUGUCUUGUAGUUGUGGAUGAUUAUUAUCGCUUCACUUGGGUGUUCUUUUUGCAGGAAAAAUCACAAACCCAAGAGACCUUAAAGGGAUUCUUGAGACGGGCUCAAAAUGAGUUCGGCUUAAGGAUAAAAAAGAUUAGAAGCGACAAUGGGACUGAGUUCAAGAACUCUCAAAUUGAAGGCUUACUUGAGGACGAGGGCAUCAAUCAUGAGUUCUCUUCUCCCUACACACCUCAACAAAAUGGUGUAGUGGAGAGGAAGAAUAGAACUCUACUUGACAUGGCGAGGACCAUGCUUGAUGAGUACAAGACUUCGGACCGGUUUUGGGCGAAAGCAAUCAACACCGCUUGCUACUGAGAGCACCUAGAGGGGGGGUGAAUAGGUGAUCCUAUAAAACUUAAAAACUUAAGCCACAAAACUUGGUUAAACGUUAGCACAGUUAAUGCCAAGUGGCUAGAGAGAAGAUCUUGCACAAUACGAUAACCACAAAGAGUUCAACACAGAGAAGACACAGUGGUUUAUCCCGUGGUUCGGCCAAGUACAAAACUUGCCUACUCCACGUUGUGGCGUCCCAACGGACGAGAGUUGCACUCAACUCCUCUCAAGUGAUCCAAUGAUCAACUUGAAUACCACAGUGUUAUGCUUUUCUUUUCUUAUCCCGUUCGCGAGGAAUCUCCACAACUUGGAGCCUCUCGCCCUUACACUUUUGAUGUUCACAAAGAAUCACGGAGUAAGGAAGGGAAGCAACACACACAAAUCCACAGCAAAAUGCGCACACACACGGCCAAGAAUCGAGCUCAAAAGACUAUCUCAAGGUUCUCACUAGAACGGAGCUCGAAUCACUGAGAAUGCGCAAAGACUGAGUGUGGAUGAUCAAGAAUGCUCUUUGGUUGCUUGGUAUUAUUUCUCCAUGCGCCUAGGGGUCCCUUUUAUAGCCCCAAGACAGCUAGGAGCCGUUGAGAGCAAAUCUGGAAGGCCAUUCUUGCCUUCUGUCAUCGGGCGCACCGGACAGUCCGGUGCACACCGGACAGUCCGGUGCACACCGGACACUGUCCGGUGCCCGAUUUCCUUCCCAAAAUGGCUCAGUCGACCGUUGCAGAUCUGGGAGCCGUUGGCGCACCGGACAUGUCCGGUGCACACCGGACAGUCCGGUGCCCCCUUCCGACCGUUGGCUCGGCCACGUGUCGCGCGCGGAUUCCGCGGCCGACCGUUGGCCCGGCCGACCGUUGGCUCACCGGACAGUCCGGUGCGCACCGGACAGUCCGGUGAAUUUUAGUCGUACGCCGUCGGCGAAUUCCCGAGAGCGGCCACUUCGCUCGAGGCAGCCUGGCGCACCGGACACUGUCCGGUGCACCACCGGAAAGUCCGGUGCCCCAGACCGAAACAGCCUUUUGGCUGUACACAGCCAACUCUUCUCUUUUCUUCUUCUUUCUGUUUCUAAUACUUAGACAAGUAUAUUAGUACACAAAACCAAUGUACUAAGACUUGGAAACAUACCUUUGCUCUUGUUUUGCACUUUGUCCAUCCAUAAGCAUGAAUUCACAUUUAAGCACUUGUGUUGGCACUCAAUCACCAAAAUACUUAGAAAUGGCCCAAGGGCACAUUUCCCUUUCAAUCUCCCCCUUUUUGGUGAUUUAUGCCAACACAACAUAAAGCAACUAGAAUAAGUGCAAAAUCACUUCAAAUAAAACUCAAAUUUAUUUUGAUUCAUUUUUGGCAUAUAUGGAUCAUCCUUUGCCACCACUUGGUUUGUUUUUGCAAAUCAAACUCAAAUCUCUAUCUCUAAGUCAAACACACAUGUUGAAGCAUAAAGAGAGUCAUUCCAAAAGAGAUUGAUCAAAGAUUUCAAAAACUCCCCCUAUUUCCCAUAAUCAACACUUCUCCCCACAAGAGGCCAACUUUUGACAAAAGAGACAAUGCAAGAGUUUUGACAAACCAAAAGCUCUAUUCUACUAUUUUCAAAAUUUCUCAAGUGGUAGCUGAUCCAUCUAUUGCUUUGGCCUUUAUUUUCUCCCCCUUUGGCAUCAAGCACCAAAACGGGAUCAAUCUUGGCCCUGUAACCCCAUUGCCUCACCAAAUUCUUCAAUUAAGAGCAAAAUAGGCAAUAAGAGUUUAAAGAUGAACUUGGAAAAGUUACUCUUUUCAUCGGAGUGCAGUGGAAGUCUUGCAUGGUCCAAGUCCACCUUUUCCCUUUCGAUCCUCCUUGGAGACUCCUUUGUUGAGGUCGGUGUGUCCGUUGGUUCCCAUCGGAGUCUUUGCGGGCUUGGCGUCCUUCAUCCCAAACCGCUUCAGCAAGUCUUGCGUGUACUUUGUUUGGGAGAUGAAGGUGUCGUCCUUGAGUUGCUUUACUUGGAACCCAAGGAAGUAGUUCAACUCGCCCAUCAUCGACAUCUCAAAUUUCUGCGUCAUCACCCUGCUAAACUCUUCACAAGACUUUUGAUUAGUAGAACCAAAUAUUAUGUCAUCGACAUAAAUUUGGCACACAAAAAGAUCACCAUCGCAAGUCUUAGUAAAAAGAGUUGGAUCAGCUUUCCCAACCUUGAAAGCAUUAGCAAUUAAAAAGUCUCUAAGGCAUUCAUACCAUGCUCAUGGGGCUUGCUUAAGUCCAUAGAGCGCCUUAGAGAGCUUACACACGUGGUCGGGGUACCGUUCAUCCUCGAAGCCAGGGGGUUGCUCCACGUACACCUCCUCCUUGAUCGGCCCAUUGAGGAAAGCGCUCUUCACAUCCAUUUGGUACAACCUGAAAGAAUGGUGAGCAGCAUAUGCUAGCAAGAUACGAAUAGACUCUAGCCUAGCCACAGGAGCAAAAGUCUCCUCAAAGUCCAAACCUGCGACUUGGGCAUAACCUUUUGCCACAAGUCGAGCCUUGUUCCUUGUCACCACUCCAUGCUCGUCUUGUUUGUUGCGGAACACCCACUUGGUUCCCACAACAUUUUGCUUAGGACGAGGCACCAGUGUCCAAACUUCAUUGCGCUUGAAGUUGUUGAGUUCCUCCUGCAUGGCCAAUACCCAGUCCGGAUCUAGCAAGGCCUCCUCUACCCUGAAAGGCUCAAUAGAAGAGACAAAAGAGUAAUGCUCACAAAAAUUAACUAAUCGAGAUCGAGUAGUUACUCCCUUGCUAAUGUCACCCAAAAUUUGGUCGACAGGAUGAUCCCUUUGAAUCACUGCUCGAACUUGAGUUGGAGGUGCCGGUUGCGCUUCUUCCUCCAUCAUGUGAUCAUCUUGUGCUCCCCAUUGAUCACACGCCUCCUUUUGAUGAACCUGUUCAUCGUCUUGAGUUGGGGGAUGCACCAUCGUUGAGGAAGAUGGUUGAUCUUGCUCCAAUUGCUCCCGAGGCCGUACAUCUCCAAUCGCCAUGGUGCGUAUUGCGGCCGUCGGAACAUCUUCUUCAUCUACAUCAUCAUAAUCAACAACUUGCUCUCUUGGAGAGCCAUUAGUCUCAUCAAAUACAACGUCGCUAGAGACUUCAACCAAACCCGAUGAUUUGUUGAAAACCCUAUACGCCUUUGUAUUUGAAUCAUAACCUAACAAAAACCCUUCUACAGCUUUGGGAGCAAACUUAGAAUUUCUACCCUUCUUCACUAGAAUGUAGCAUUUACUCCCAAAUACACGAAAGUAAGAUACAUUGGGUUUGUUACCGGUUAAAAGCUCAUACGAAGUCUUCUUGAGGAGGCGGUGAAGGUAGACCCUGUUGAUGGCGUGGCAAGCCGUGUUCACAGCUUCCGACCAAAAAUGCUCGGGGGUCUUGAAUUCUCCAAGCAUCGUCCUUGCCAUGUCGAUUAGCGUCCUGUUCUUCCUCUCUACCACACCAUUUUGCUGUGGUGUGUAGGGAGCGGAGAACUCGUGCUUGAUCCCUUCCUCCUCAAGGAAUUCCUCCACUUGAAGGUUCUUGAACUCGGACCCGUUGUCGCUCCUUAUCUUCUUCACCUUGAGCUCAAACUCAUUUUGAGCUCUCCUGAGGAAGCGCUUGAGGGUCCCUUGGGUUUCAGACUUAUCCUGCAAAAAGAACACCCAAGUGAAGCGGGAAAAGUCAUCAACAAUAACUAGACCAUACUUACUUCCUCCUAUGCUCAGAUAGGCGACGGGUCCGAAGAGGUCCAUAUGUAGCAGCUCCAGGGGUCUUGAUGUGGUCAUCACAUUCUUGCUGUGAUGCGUUCCUCCCACCUGUUUACCUGCCUGACAAGCUGCACAAGGUCUAUCUUUUUCGAAUUGUACGUUAGUCAAACCUAUCACGUGUUCUCCCUUUAGAAGCUUGUGUAGGUUCUUCAUUCCUACAUGUGCUAAGCGGCGAUGCCACAGCCAGCCCAUGCUAGUCUUAGCUAUUAAGCAUGCAUCUAGACCGGCCUCCUCUUUUGCAAAAUCAACUAAAUAAAGUUUGCCGUCUAAUACACCCUUAAAAUCUAGUGAACCAUCACUUCUUCUAAAGACAGACACAUCUACAUUUGUAAAAAGACAAUUAUAUCCCAUAUUGCAUAGUUGGCUAACAGAUAACAAAUUGUAGCCAAGAGACUCAACUAAAAACACAUUAGAGAUAGAGUGCUCAUUAGAAAUUGCAAUUUUACCUAACCCUUUUACCUUGCCUUGAUUCCCAUCACCGAAUAUAAUUGAAUCUUGGGAAUCUUUAUUCUUGACAUAGGAGGUGGACAUCUUCUUCUCCCCCGUCAUAUGGUUUGUGCAUCCGCUGUCGAUAAUCCAGCUUGAACCCCCGGAUGCAUAAACCUGCAAGGCAAAUUUAGGCUUGGGUCUUAGGUACCCAACUCAUGUUGGGUCCUACAAGGUUAGUGCAAAUAUCCUUAGGGACCCAAAUGCAAGUUUUGUCUCCCUUGCAUUUUGCCCCUAACUUCCUAGCAACUAUUUUCCUAUCCUUUCUACAAAUAGCAAAGGAAGCAUUUAAAGCACAAUAAAUUGUAGAAGAUUCAUUCACUACUUUCCUAGGAGCAUGAAUAAUAUUCUUUCUAGGCACAUGAUGAAUAGUAUUUCUCCUAGACAUAUUUCUACCAUGCAUAUAGGAAGAACUAGAAGCAACCAUGGCAUGAGAGUUAAAGUCAUCAUAAGCAUUAUAACUCCUAUAAGCAUUUCUAGUUUGUCUCCUAUCAUGAUACAUAAAAGCAUGGUUCCUUUUAGUACUUUUAGCCAUAGGGGCCUUCCCUUUCUCCUUGGCGGAGAUGGGAGCCUUAUGGCUUGUUAAGUUCUUGGCUUCCCUCUUGAAGCCAAGUCCAUCCUUAAUUGAGGGGUGUCUACCAACCGUGUAGGCAUCCCUAGCAAAUUUUAGUUUCUCAAAAUCACUUUUGCUAGUCUCGAGUUGGGUAUUAAGACUAGCCACCUCUUCAUUUAAUUUAGAAAUGCAAGCUAGGUGUUCACUAUAAGCAUCAAUGUUAAUAUCUUUACACCUAGUGCAAGUUAUAACAUUCUCUACGCAAGAGUUAGAUUUACUAGCAAUCUUAGCAUUCAAGUCAUCAUUAAUGCUCCUUAAGCUAGAAAUUGUCUCAUGGCAAGAAGAUAAUUCACAAGAAAGCAUUUCGUUUCUUUUAACUUCUAAAGCAUGAGAUUUUUGUGCUUCUACAAAUUUAUCAUGUUCAUCAUAUAACAAAUCCUCUUGCUUUUCUAAAAGCCUAUCCUUUUCAUUCAAGGCAUCAAUUAACUCAUUAAUUUUGCCAAUUUUAAUUCUAUCUAGACCUUUAAAUAAACUAGAAUAGUCUAUUUCAUUGUCGUCACUAGAAUCAUCAUCACUAGAAGAAUAAGUGGUACUUUCUCGAGUACAUACCUUCUUCUCCUUCGCCAUGAGGCAUGUGUGAUGCUCGUUGGGGAAGAGGGAUGACUUGUUGAAGGCGGUGGCGGCGAGUCCUUCAUUGUCGGAGUCGGAGGAGGAGCAAUCCGAAUCCCACUCCUUUCCGAUAUGUGCCUCGCCCUUGGCCUUCUUGUAAUGUUUCUUCUUUUCCCUCUUGCUCCCGAGUUCCUGGUCACUUUCAUUAUCGGGACAGUUAGCAAUAAAAUGACCAAUCUUACCGCAUUUGAAGCAUGAGCGCUUCCCUUUGGCUUUGGUCUUGCUUGGCUGUCCCUUGCGACCCUUGAGCGCCGUCUUGAAUCUCUUGAUGAUGAGAGCCAUCUCUUCAUCAUUAAGUCCGGCCGCCUCAAUUUGUGCCACCUUGUUAGGUAGCGCCUCCUUGCUUCUUGUUGCUUUGAGAGCAAGAGGUUGCGGCUCGUUGAUCGGUCCAUUCAAGGCGUCGUCCACGUACCUUGCCUCCUUGAUCAUCAUUCGCCCACUUACGAAUUUUCCAAGGACUUCUUCGGGCGACAUUUUGGUGUACCUGGGAUUCUCACGAAUAUUAUUCACCAAAUGAGGAUCAAGAACGGUAAAGGACCUUAGCAUCAGUCGGACGACGUCGUGGUCCGUCCAUCGCGUGCUUCCAUAGCUCUUUAUUUUGUUGAUAAGGGUCUUGAGCCGGUUGUAUGUUUGAGUUGGCUCCUCGCCCCUUAUCAUUGCGAACCGUCCAAGCUCGCCCUCCACCAACUCCAUCUUGGUGAGCAAGGUGACGUCGUUCCCCUCAUGAGAGAUCUUGAGGGUGUCCCAUAUUUGCUUGGCGUUAUCCAAGCCGCUCACUUUGUUGUAUUCAUCCCUGCACAAAGAAGCUAGAAGAACAGUAGUAGCUUGUGCAUUCUUAUGUAUUUGCUCAUUAAUGAACAUGGGACUAUCGGAACUAUCAAAGUGCAUUCCACUUUCUACAAUCUCCCAUAUACUAGGAUGGAGAGAGAACAAGUGACUACGCAUUUUGUGACUCCAAAAUCCGUAGUCCUCUUCAUCAAAAUGAGGAGGUUUACCAAGUGGAAUAGAUAAUAAAUGAGCAUUUGCACUUUGAGGAAUACGAGAGUAGUCAAAAGAAAAGUUCGAAUUGACCGGUUUCCUUCUCUCGUAGUCGUUGUGGUCGUCGUCCUUUUGGGAGGAAGUAGACUCAUCGCUGUCGUCGUAGUAGACGAUCUCCUUGAUGCGCCUCGUCUUCUUCUUCUUCCCUUCCUUCCGUCUAUGGCCCGAGCCGGAGUCGGUAGGCUUGUCGUCCUUCGGCUCGUUGACGAAGGAUUCCUUCUCUUUAUCGUUGAUCACGAUACCCUUCCCCUUAGGAUCCAUCUCUUCGGGCGGUUAGUCCCUUUGUGAAGAGAACGGCUCUGAUACCAAUUGAGAGCACCUAGAGGGGGGGUGAAUAGGUGAUCCUGUAAAACUUAAAAACUUAAGCCACAAAACUUGGUUAAACGUUAGCACAGUUAAUGCCAAGUGGCUAGAGAGAAGAUCUUGCACAAUACGAUAACCACAAAGAGUUCAACACAGAGAAGACAUAGUGGUUUAUCUCGUGGUUCGGCCAAGUACAAAACUUGCCUACUCCACGUUGUGGCGUCCCAACGGAUGAGAGUUGCACUCAACUCCUCUCAAGUGAUCCAAUGAUCAACUUGAAUACCACAGUGUUAUGCUUUUCUUUUCUUAUCCCGUUCGCGAGGAAUCUCCACAACUUGGAGCCUCUCGCCCUUACACUUUUGAUGUUCACAAAGAAUCACGGAGUAAGGAAGGGAAGCAACACACACAAAUCCACGGCAAAAUGCGCACACACACGGCCAAGAAUCGAGCUCAAAAGACUAUCUCAAGGUUCUCACUAGAACGGAGCUCGAAUCACUGAGAAUGCGCAAAGACUGAGUGUGGAUGAUCAAGAAUGCUCUUUGGUUGCUUGGUAUUAUUUCUCCAUGCGCCUAGGGGUCCCUUUUAUAGCCCCAAGACAGCUAGGAGCCGUUGAGAGCAAAUCUGGAAGGCCAUUCUUGCCUUCUGUCAUCGGGCGCACCGGACAGUCCGGUGCACACCAGACACUGUCCGGUGCCCGAUUUCCUUCCCAAAAUGGCUCAGUCGACCGUUGCAGAUCUGGGAGCCGUUGGCGCACCGAACAUGUCCGGUGCACACCGGACAGUCCGGUGCCCCCUUCCGACCGUUGGCUCGGCCACGUGUCGCGCGCGGAUUCCGCGGCCGACCGUUGGCCCGGCCGACCGUUGGCUCACUGGACAGUCCGGUGCGCACCGAACAGUCCGGUGAAUUUUAGCUGUACGCCGUCGGCGAAUUCCCGAGAGCGGCCACUUCGCUCGAGGCAGCCUGGCGCACCGGACACUGUCCGGUGCACCACCGGACAGUCCGGUGCCCCAGACCGAAACAGCCUUUUGGUUGUACACAGCCAACUCUUCUCUUUUCUUCUUCUUUCUGUUUCUAAUACUUAGACAAGUAUAUUAGUACACAAAACCAAUGUACUAAGACUUGGAAACAUACCUUUGCUCUUGUUUUGCACUUUGUCCAUCCAUAAGCAUGAAUUCACAUUUAAGCACUUGUGUUGGCACUCAAUCACCAAAAUACUUAGAAAUGGCCCAAGGGCACAUUUCCCUUUCAGCUACGCCAUCAACCGUCUCUACCUUCACCAAAUCCUCAAGAAGACAUCAUAUGAACUCCUAACCGGUAAAAAGCCCAAUGUUUCAUAUUUUAGAGUCUUUGGUAGCAAAUGCUUUAUUCUUGUUAAAAGAGGUAGAAAAUCUAAAUUUGCUCCUAAGGCUGUAGAAGGCUUUUUACUUGGUUAUGACUCAAACACAAGGGUAUAUAGAGUCUUUAACAAGUCCACUGGACUAGUUGAAGUUUCUUGUGACAUUGUGUUUGAUGAGACUAACGGCUCUCAAGUAGAGCAAGUUGAUCUUGAUGAACUAGAUGAUGAAGAGGCUCCAUGCGUCGCACUAAGGAACAUGUUCAUUGGGGAUGUGUGUCCUAAGGAAUCCGAAGAACCUCCAUAUGCAUAAGAUCAAUCAUCUUCCUCCAUGCAAGCAUCUCCACCAACCCAAGAUGAGGAUCAAGCUCAAGAUGAUGAAAAUGAAGAUCAAGAGGAGCCACCUCAAGAGGAAGACAAUGAUCAAGGAGGAGAUGCUAAUGAUCAAGACAAGGAAGAUGAUGAGGGUCCAAGGCCACCAUACCCAAGAGUCCACCAAGCAAUACAACGAGAUCACCCCGUAAACACUAUCCUCAGCGAUAUUCAAAAGGAGGUAACCACUCGAUCUCGUGUUGUUCAUUUUUGUGAACAUUACUCCUUUGUGUAUCUAUUGAGCCAUACAGGGUGGAAGACACAUUAAGAGAUUCGGAUUGGGUGUUGGCGAUGCAAGAGGAGCUCAACAACUUCACGAGAAAUGAGGUAUGGCAUUUAGUUCCACGCCCUAACCAAAAUGUUGUAGGAACCAAGUGGGUCUUCCGCAACAAGCAUGAUGAGCAUGGUGUGGUGACAAGGAACAAAGCUCGACUUAUGGCCAAGGGAUACUCCCAAGUCGAAGGUUUGGAUUUCGGUGAAACCUAUGCACCCGAAGCUAGUCUUGAGUCAAUUCGCAUAUUACUUGUCUAUGCUACUUACUUCAACCUUUAUCAAAUGGACGUGAAAAGUGCCUUCCUCAAUGGGCCAAUCAAGGAAGAGGUCUAUGUUGAGCAACCUCCCGGCUUUGAAGAUAGUGAGUACCCUAACCAUGUUUAUAAACUCUCUAAGGCGCUUUAUGGGCUCAAGCAAGCCCCAAUAGCAUGGUAUGAAUGCCUAAGAGAUUUUCUUAUCGCUAAUGGCUUCAAAGUCGGAAAAGCCGAUCCUACUCUCUUUACUAAAACAAUUUCAAAUGAUUUGUUUGUAUGCCAAAUUUAUGUUGACGAUAUCAUAUUUGGGUCUACUAACAAAUCUACUUGUGAAGAGUUUAGUAGGAUUAUGAUUCAAAAAUACGAGAUGUCUAUGAUGGGGGAGUUGAAAUACUUCCUAGGAUUUCAAGUGAAGCAACUCCAAGAGGGCACCUUCAUCAGCCAAACGAAGUACACUCAAGACAUACUCACCAAGUUUGGGAUGAAGGAUGUCAAGCCCAUCAAGACACCAAUGGGAACCAAUGGGCAUCUCGACCUCGACACAGGAGGUAAAUCCGUAGAUCAAAAGGUAUACCGGUCGAUGAUAGGAUCUUUACUCUAUUUAUGUGCAUCUCGACCGGAUAUUAUGCUUUCCGUAUGCAUGUGUGCAAGAUUCCAAGCCGAAUCUAAGGAAGUUCACCUUAGGGCCAUAAAACAAAUCUUGAGAUAUUUAGUUCAUACUCCUAAGUUUGGUCUUUGGUACACCAAGGGAUCCACUUUUGAUUUAAUUGGAUAUUCAGAUGCUGAUUGGGCAGGGUGUAAAAUUGAUAGAAAGAGCACAUCAGGGACUUGUCAGUUCUUGGGAAGAUCCCUGGUGUCUUGGGCUUCAAAAAAACAAAAUUCUGUAGCUCUUUCUACCGCCGAAACCGAGUAUAUUGCCGCAGGCCAUUGUUGCGCGCAAUUGCUUUGGAUGAGGCAAACCAUUAGGGACUAUGGUUACAAAUUAACCAAAGUUCCUCUCCUAUGUGAUAAUGAGAGUGCAAUGCGCAUGACGGAUAAUCCCGUUGAGCACAGCCGCACUAAGCACAUAGCCAUUCGGUAUCACUUUUUGAGGGAUCACCAACAAAGAGGGGAUAUCGAGAUUGCUUAUGUUAGCACCAAAGAACAAUUAGCCGAUAUCUUUACCAAACCACUAGAUGAGAAAACUUUUACCAAACUUAGGCAUGAGCUAAACAUUCUUGAUUCUAGGAACUUCGAUUGAUCCCUUGCACACAUAGCUCAUUUAUACCUUUGAUCAUAUCUCUUUCAUGUGCUAUGACUAAUGUGUUUUUCAAGUGUAUUUCAUGCUAAGUCAUAGAUUGAAAGGGAAAUGGAGUCUUCGGCGAAUACAAGGCUUCCACUCCACUCCAUCAUGUUAUUUACACUUCGCCGUCACUCCGCAUCGCUCUCCACUUUGGUAUAGUCCUUUACUUACAUAUUGUUUGCCAAAGGGGGAGAGAAAGUAAUAAGGGCUUAUAUUUCACUCACAAGUAUCCGUUUUUGGCGAUUCAUGCCAAAGGGUGAGAAAGUAUUAGCCCAAAGCAAAAGGACCGCACCACCACCACCAAUUUCAAAAAAAUGUAGUCUUUUCAAUUUGUAUUAAAGAAAAUUUUCAAUUGGUAUCUUAUUUUUGAUAUAAUUUCAAAUUGGUAUGACCUCUUUCAAAAUUAAUAUCUAAAACCCUCUUGAACACUAAGAGGAGAAUUUCAUUGAGGGGGAGUUGUUUAGUCAAAGGAAAAGCAUUUCAAACAGGGGGAGAAAAUUUCAAAUCUUGAAAAUGCUUCUCAAAAUCUUAUUCAUAUACCUUUGACUAUUUGCAAAAGACUUUGAAAAAGAAUUUCCAAAACAUUUACAAAAACAAAACAAGUGGUGCAAGCGUGGUCCAAAAUGUUAAAAUAAAUAAAGCAAUCCAUGCAUAUCCUAUGAAUGUAUAAAUUGGUUUAACUCCAAGUAACCUUUGCACUUACCUUAUGCAAACUAGUUCAAUGCUGCACUUAUAUAUUUGCUUUGGUUUGUGUUGGCAUCAAUCACCAAAAAGGGGGAUAUUGAAAGGGAAAUAGGCUAAAACCUUUUCCUAAUUGAUUUUAGUGGUUGAAUUGCCCAACACAAAUAAUUGGACUAACUAGUUUGCUCUAGAUUGUAAGUUCUACAGGUGCCAAAGGUUCAACACAAACCAAUAAAAAGUCUAAGAAAGGGUUCAAAUAAAAAGAAGAAAAGACAACCGAAGGCUGCCCUGGUCUGGAGCACCGGACUGUCCGGUGUGCCACCGGACAGUGUCCGGUGCACCAGGGAGAUCAACUCCGAACUUGCCACCUUCGGGUUUCUGGAAUUGCCUCUCUUCUAUAAUUCACCGGACUGUCCGGUGUAGCACCGGACUGUCCGGUGUGCCAAGCGGAGUAAGGGCUACAGCGCCAACGGUCGUCUGCAAAAGGUGAACAUUGAGCUACAGUGCGCGGACUGCGCGCGCAGAAGUCAGAGCAGGCGCAGAUGGCGCACCGGACAGUGAACAAUGACUGUCCGGUGGCCCCACUUGUCAGAGCUCCAACGGUCGAACCCUAACGGUUGGGUGACGUGGUUGGCGCACCGGACUGUCUGGUGCACCCUUCGACAGCAGCCUUCCCCAACGACCACUUUGGUGGUUGGGGCUAUAAAUACCCCCAACCACCACACUUCAAGGCAUCCAAGUUUUCAGCCAACACAAUCAAUACAAGAGCUAGUGCAUUCAAUACAAGACACAAUUAGAGUGAAUCAAAAUCUCUCCAAGUCCCAAUUCCACUCAAAGCAAGAGUGACUAGAAGAGAGAGUUUUGUCGUGUUCUUUUGAGCUCUUAUGCUUGGAUCGCUUUUCUUCUUCCCCAUUUUCUUGUUCCAAGUCAUUUGUAAUCAAAGCAAGAGACACCAAUUGUGUGGUGGUCCUUGUGGGGACUAAGUGUCCCAAUUGUUUGAGAAGAGAAGCUCACUCGGUGUAAGUGACCGUUUGAGAGAGGGAAAGGGUUGAAAGAGACCCGGUCUUUGUGACCACCUCAACGGGGAGUAGGUUUGCAAGAACCGAACCUCGGUAAAACAAAUCACCGUGUCACACUCUUUAUUUGCUUGUGAUUUGUUUUCGCCCUCUCUUUCAGACUCGAUUAUAUUUCUAACGCUAACCUCGACUUGUAGUUGUGCUUAAACUUUAUAAAUUUCAGAUUUGCCUAUUCACCCCCCUCUAGGCGACUUUCAAUAACUAUUAAUCUAUUCAUCAAUUAAAUUAGUCGUAAAAACGAUGCGUCAUACCACUACUAAGUUGACUCGGAUGAAAGCAAAAACAUCGAUGAUCUAAUGUUUAGACCUUUCGUCGAGCACAUGGUGAGCGUCGCACUGGCCUCACUUCUUCUCCAUCCAAAAAC